CCAGAAAGCCCAGGCCUCGAUGGCACUGGGGGAGAGGGCGACUCCCCGCCUGUUUCUGAAUCGUAGCGGAGGGGAAUUUGAUUUGAACGCGGUUUAAGAGGAAAGGUUGAAGAGCAUGAGAGCUGUUCUGUCUACAGGAAUGAGAAUGUGUGUCUCUUCAAUAUGGAAAAGUGCUAAAGCACAUUGAGUAUCGUAAUAGCAUACAGAGCAUGCUUUAUUGCUAUGUAACGACACCUCAAGAUUUAAACAGCAGUCACUCCAUGCUCUCCUAUGGUUUCUGUGCUUGCCUGAUUGGAGAAUGGCCUGGCUUCUUUCUGCUGGCCCCAGGUUUCUCACAAGGCUACAGUGAGAGUGGUUGGCAUGCCUGUGUAGUACCAGCUACUCAGAAGACAGGAUUGCUUGAAGCAGGAGUUAUCAGGCCAGCCUAGGGAACUUAGUGAGAAAGCACUUAUCUAGAGAAAGAGAAGAAAGAAGAAGAGGUGGGGGCGGGGAAUCAGAAGGAGUUGGGUCCAAUCUGGGUUUGGCAUAAAGCAUAUCUUGCUGGCAGUUGGGACCUGUCCAAUUAGUCACAUGCAUAUAACCUACUCAUCUCUGUGUCUGUCUUCAGAGAGUCUCAGGGUCCCUUCAUACAUGGCUCCUCUGUAUGGCCAUUAUCGGUGCUCAAGCACUAACAACUAAUUGAAAUGGAACCUGGCCUGUAUUGGAGAAGCGAAAGUAUUUCAGAGCACAGGCUAGACAGUGCUUUUCCCAGGAUGACCUAGCCUUGGCGGCCACAGAUUUUCAAUUCCUUCUUAAUUCAAACUGUCACAGAAAGCCACCCCAAUGGGAGGAAAAUCAAAUUCACAUUGUAAGAUAAGCAUGUUGGUUGGAAGAGCUAUUGAAGCUGCUUUGAAAAUACUAUCCUCCAUUCAGAACUAUGAAGUACUCUUUAACUAUUCCCAUCACUGGCUCACUUAAAUACAUGCAGUGGGUGAUGUGCUUGCCAUAGAUCACGGACAAAAAUAUAAAAUGUGUAUAAGUAAACAAGUUAAGAACAGCAUAGUUCAGUAAACUGAUUUAAAGAGUACACGUAUCAGAGUGGUGAUGAGCCAACGCUCAUGAGGACCUGAGUCAAUCCCUAAAAGCCAGACUUAGAGAGCAUGCUCUUGUAAUCCCAGUACAAGGACAGCAGAAAUGAGUGAGCCUCCUGGGUUCCCUGGAUAGCUAGCUUAAGCCUCGUCAACAAGUUCCAGGCCAUCUUGCCUUAACAAGGAGAAGAGCUCCUGAAGAACAAGCACCUCUGUCUCCACACUUACACACAUGUACACAUAUGAACACAUACACGCAAAGUAUAUUAUCAUAACUCAGUUCAGAUUCAGACUUAAACCCUUACAGUUAUCUUCAGUUUAUCUGUUGCUAUAGUUACUACUGAUAACUGACUAGGAGGAGGUUUCAAAGUGCCUUCCAAAUUGCUUUCAUUGUGGAUUACUUAGAUAUGUUUUCUUUAAGUUUUGUUUUUUUUGAAAAGUAGGAAUCUCUUAAAAAUAUGUUAAGACUCAGCCACCAUGUUAAAUUAACCAUUAUACACUGUUCUGCAAUCUGCCUUAAGUAUCAUGUUAGAUUACUAAAUUAUGCUAGUUUUAUAUAAGGUUAACAAGAGACCAUGAAAGAAUCACAUAUUUGAAACAAAAGAUGUCUGGGGAGCCGUGUAUUACUUAACUGUGACCACAGUAUAAUAAUUAACAAUAUUAAAAAUAAUUCCAGAAACUGAAUGAUAAUGGGUAGAGAAUUUUUUUUUUAAUUUAGAAAAACACGCCACAAGAAUUUUAACAGUAUAUUUCAUUUUAUAAUUCCUCAAUGUUUGAGGCUCACAUAAAAGGCAUAUAUUAUUUUAUACUCAGGAAAAACAUCUGUGGCAUACUUGGUACCGGGGAUUUGAUCGAUGUGUUAUUCUGUAAGGUUUUAGGGACCACAGCUCUGUCUCUGAGACAGCUGUGUCUUCUGAGACAGUUGAGGUUGUGGAUCAGCAGUGUUUGUUUCAGCAGCAUCAUGGGGAGUGAAAACUCCUGACAGCUUGGCAGCAGGCACUGAGCCCAGCCUCAUAAUGUCAGUCUAAGAUGGACUGGAUACAUUUCAUAAUGGCUUUCUGUGCCAAAUACCUGUAAGGAGAACCACCCUGCUCUCCUUACUGUGAACUAACUAGAUUAAAAACAAACACAAAU